UGGUGUCUGUUUGUCCAGACAGCUGAAUGC
rnacentral:piRNA from 1 species